rnacentral:rRNA from 1 species
UACGGGAGGGGCAAGCGUUACUCGGAAUUACUGGGCGUAAAGCGCACGUAGGCGGCGAUUUAAGUCAGAGGUGAAAGCCCGGGGCUCAACCCCGGAACUGCCUUUGAGACUGGAUUGCUAGAAUCUUGGAGAGGCGAGUGGAAUUCCGAGUGUAGAGGUGAAAUUCGUAGAUAUUCGGAAGAACACCAGUGGCGAAGGCGGCUCGCUGGACAAGUAUUGACGCUGAGGUGCGAAAGCGUGGGGAGCAAACAGG